UACAGAGGUCUCAAGCGUUGUUCGGAUUCAUUGGGCGUAAAGGGUGCGUAGGCGGCGCGGUAAGUCGGGUGUGAAAUCUCGGAGCUUAACUCCGAAACUGCAUUCGAUACUGCCGUGCUUGAGGACUGGAGAGGAGACUGGAAUUUACGGUGUAGCGGUGAAAUGCGUAGAUAUCGUAAGGAAGACCAGUGGCGAAGGCGGGUCUCUGGACAGUUCCUGACGCUGAGGCACGAAGGUCAGGGGGGAGCAAAACGGG
rnacentral:rRNA from 1 species